rnacentral:rRNA from 1 species
UACGGGGGGAGCAAGCGUUGUUCGGAUUUACUGGGCGUAAGGGCGGCGUAGGCGGCUCAAUCAGUCGGGCGUGAAAGCUCUGGGCUUAACCCAGAAAAGUCGUUCGAUACUGUUGGGCUAGAGUGUGGAAGAGGCUACUGGAAUUCCGUGUGUAGCGGUGAAAUGCGUAGAGAUCAGGAAGAACAUCGGUGGCGAAGGCGCUCUGCUGGACCAUAACUGACACUCAGGGACGAAAGCUAGGGGAGCGAAUGGG